rnacentral:rRNA from 1 species
AUUGAACGCUGGCGGCAGGCCUAACACAUGCAAGUCGAGCGGUAGAGAGAAGCUUGCUUCUCUUGAGAGCGGCGGACGGGUGAGUAAUACCUAGGAAUCUGCCUGAUAGUGGGGGAUAACGUUCGGAAACGGACGCUAAUACCGCAUACGUCCUACGGGAGAAAGCAGGGGACCUUCGGGCCUUGCGCUAUCAGAUGAGCCUAGGUCGGAUUAGCUAGUUGGUGAGGUAAUGGCUCACCAAGGCUACGAUCCGUAACUGGUCUGAGAGGAUGAUCAGUCACACUGGAACUGAGACACGGUCCAGACUCCUACGGGAGGCAGCAGUGGGGAAUAUUGGACAAUGGGCGAAAGCCUGAUCCAGCCAUGCCGCGUGUGUGAAGAAGGUCUUCGGAUUGUAAAGCACUUUAAGUUGGGAGGAAGGACAUUAACCUAAUACGUUGGUGUCUUGACGUUACCGACAGAAUAAGCA